UUAACUCAGUUUUGUAUGGAACGUUUGCCUACGUUUGCCGCUAGGGGCGUUGUUCCAACUGCAUACAGAUUUGAGUUA
rnacentral:pre_miRNA from 1 species